rnacentral:rRNA from 1 species
AUAGCGUAUAUUAAAGUUGUUGCAGUUAAAAAGCUCGUAGUUGAACCUUGGGCCUGGCUGGCCGGUCCGCCUCACCGCGUGCACUGGUCCGGCCGGGCCUUUCCUUCUAGGGAUCCGCAUGUCCUUUACUGGGUGUGUCGGGGAACUAGGACUUUUACUUUGAAAAAAUUAGAGUGUUCAAAGCAGGCCUUUGCUCGGAUACAUUAGCAUGGAAUAAUAGAAUAGGACGGCUUUCCUAUUUUGUUGGUUUCUAGGGGAGCCGUAAUGAUUAAUAGGGAUAGUCGGGGGCAUCAGUAUUCAAUUGUCAGAGGUGAAAUUCUUGGAUUUAUUGAAGACUAACUACUG